rnacentral:rRNA from 1 species
AUACGGGGGGUGCAAGCGUUAAUCGGAAUUACUGGGCGUAAAGCGCGCGUAGGCGGUUGGACAAGUUGGAUGUGAAAGCCCCGGGCUCAACCUGGGAAUGGCAUCCAAAACUGUCCGACUAGAGUUCGGUAGAGGGGAGUGGAAUUCCACAUGUAGCGGUGAAAUGCAUAGAUAUGUGGAGGAACACCAGUGGCGAAGGCGGCUCCCUGGAUCGAAACUGACGCUGAGGUGCGAAAGCGUGGGUAGCAAACAGGAUUAGAAACCCUAGUAGUCC